UAGAUCAGUUGGUAGAGCAUGGUGUUUGCAACGCCAGGGGUUGUGGGUUCGAUUCCCAC
rnacentral:tRNA from 1 species